rnacentral:rRNA from 1 species
CCAGACUCCUACGGGGGCAGCAGUGGGGAAUAUUGCACAAUGGGCGGAAGCCUGAUGCAGCAACGCCGCGUGCGGGAUGACGGCCUUCGGGUUGUAAACCGCUUUCAGCAGGGGCGAAGCUUUUGUGACGGUACCUGCAGAAGAAGCACCGGCUAACUACGUGCCAGCAGCCGCGGUGAUACGUAGGGUGCGAGCGUUGUCCGGAUUUAUUGGGCGUAAAGAGCUCGUAGGUGGUUGAUUGCGUCGGAAGUGAAAACUUGGGGCUUAACCCUGAGCGUGCUUUCGAUACGGGUUGACUUGAGGAAGGUAGGGGAGAAUGGAAUUCCUGGUGGAGCGGUGGAAUGCGCAGAUAUCAGGAGGAACACCAGUGGCGAAGGCGGUUCUCUGGACCUUUCCUGACGCUGAGGAGCGAAAGCGUGGGGAGCGAACAGGCUUAGAUACCCUGGUAGUCCACGCUGUAAACGGUGGGUACUAGGUGUGGGGUCCAUUCCACGGAUUCCGUGCCGUAGCUAACGCAUUAAGUACCCCGCCUGGGGAGUACGGCCGCAAGGCUAAAACUCAAAGGAAUUGACGGGGGCCCGCACAAGAAGGGCGAAU